UUUAAAAAAUCCCGGGAAAAGGAUCUGAAAGUUGCUCAUAAAUCAGUUGAAACGCUUUUCAAACUCAGACAGAAGGGAAAAGUUUCCCUCGUGGUUUCUCCUCUGUCCCGCGCGCUCUCCCGCAGCAGCUGAUCCGUUCAGAAAGUGCAGAAAAACUCCCGCGUGCGCGUUACAUUCCACAACCGAACCGUCAUAGUUCCGAGUCUGCACGGAGGGGGCAAGUCCAGGAAACCGCGUUUGACACUCGGCCCGGUGACCAGAGUUUGGGGCGUCGCCCUCCGCCUCCUCCGACCAAUCAGAGUUCACUAUCAAACUUUGUAAACAACUCUUACGCACGGAUCUUUAAAGCCCAUUUACUGCGUUCCCCACCGAACGCCGUGACGCCGCUGCGCCGGAGCGGACCGCCGACACGCCGGUCCUCAUUUUGAGAUCAAAACCGUCUCAAAAAGCAUCGAUGAAGACCAGAAAAGUGAUGCAAAGCAAAAGUCGCAGCAGCAGCAGGAAGCUUGCAGCUGCCGUGGUCGAUUUCUCCGGGAGUUCUGGACUCUUAAGGGAAACUACAAACAUGGCUGCAAGGAUCAGCAGGGAUCUGAGAGGAACCGGUGAUCCACGGUGUCGGAUUCGGAUCGGGUCGCUGAAAAACGUUUGUUCCAGAGGUGUUAUCAGGCGCGGACCUGGGGGAGUCAGGACGGCCGGAUACGUCCCGAUCAGACAGACAAACAGACAGACAUGCAGACAGGAGGAUGCUGCCGCUACUGUGGACCUUGGGCUUGGUUUGAUUCUCAUCCGGAGCUGCAGAGAGAAUGACAUCAUUCCUGUUUUGAUAGGACAGGAAGGUGGAAGGAUCUGGAGGUCUUCAGUGUUUGCUGACAGAAUGAAGGCUGUGGAACAAAACAAUGGAGGAGAACUCCGAUACCAGAUACCAUCAAACGCAGGAUAAUAUCCGUGCAAAGAACACUCUUUAUACCUGGUUAUUUGUUUGUUUGUUUACUUAUUUAUCAGGACAGCAGAGAAAUACAUUGAGCUUAAAAAGCAAAGAUGCUAGAACCAGAUUGUAGCUUAACAGCUCAUUUCUAUUCCUUUAUAAAACAAUACAUAAUUUAAACAUAUUUACCACUUUAAACUGUUUUUUAAAAGAAAUGCAAUAUAAAAUAUAUUAUAAAACUAAUGCAAUAAAUACAGACACCAUUUUACCGGCUGUUUGUUAGCAGACACCAAAUCAUUUAACAGUAAAGAGUUAAUUGGACUUUACCGACCCGAGAGUUGUAAUUUUAUUCUGCUUCACUUUACAUCAUUACUUUUAUAAUAAAUAUGAAUUAAAAAAUUUUUUAUCAUAAAUAAAAACAGAAAUAUUAAGAGAAAAUAUGAAAUUGUUUCUUACUGUUGACAGAAACUCGUCUGACUUCUUAUAAAAAUGAAAGACACUUUGUUACAGUGUUCAUUUAUUGUUUCAUUGAUUUUAUUCAAUUUUAUUUAUUAUUUAUAUAAAACCUUUAAAGGAUAAUCAACCAAAGUGCUGGACAGAAAAUAAAACAUGAAUAAAAUCAUGAAACAAUAAGAACAUAAACAAUAAAAAAUAACAAUAAAUUGAUUAUUGAUAUUGUUUAUGAUAUUAUAUUAUUUAGUGAUUUUAUUCAUGUUUGAUUUUCUGUUCAGCUCUUUGGUCAAGACGACCUGACGGCAGACAAAAUCAUUAGCUGGAAAUGGAAAUUUCUCAGGAUUUCAGAUUUGUAAAACUUUUAUAAAAACUUUUUUUAGUAUUCAGGAUUAACUUAAAAUGUGUCAAAAGAGGGUAAAGGCUUUAUUAAACAUAUUAACAAAAGUGUUCAGAAUUGUAAAACUGUUCAGACGUUUACAUUGGAGCUUUAGCUCCAGACCUGUGUCCUCCAAUGAAUAUUUGUAUCUAUAUAUAUGUUUUAUUGUUUGUUCUUUUUCAGUUAUAAUGUUCAAUCCAUACAAUCUACUUACAGAACAGGAGUACGAUGAAGA